GUGACUUUGGGCACGUUUCUCAGCCCAUUUGAGCUGAGACCAUCUUGGCCAUAGAAUGAGGCUGUUCACACCUACUUCCGGAGAAUUCACCAGAGGGGCUCAUAGGAGGCGCCUCACGAGAAUAUCAGCCCUGAGGAGUGCAAGACCACUGCUACCACCAGACAGCGCUAGGCGAGCCCGGCAGCAAACAGAAAUGCGCUCUGGGAGUCAUGAAAGGGCGUCUACAAGUGAAUGCAGUCGCCCAGCGGAUGCACCCCCCCGUGACGCCCAGCCAGCCCUGGAUUCACUGUGUGGUCGGCUCCACUCGAGGUCUGCCACCUUUCCCUGGUUCCAAGAGCUGUAGAUUCACAGAAGUCUUUCUCGAGCUUCCUCUGCAAGGACCAUCUGCCUGCAGCCCCCAAGGAUCUCCCUCUAUGGAAGCGCCCAUGUCCCUCUUACUGUCGCUGAACUCUUCCUUCCUGGAUACAGGUCAUGGUUCAUGCACCUUUUCCUCCUGGAGUGUGGAUCCCCUGGGAGCAAAGACCCACUCAGCCCAUCCUUUACCGUGCCUCCCAAAGUCUGCUGAGGAAGACAGGAUGGAGUGUAGGAAAAGCGCAUCCUCUCUGGGAUGAAGUGAAUACAUUUUUCCUGUCCCAAGAAGGAAUUCAGAGUUCAUGUAACCCCUCCUAGAGAGCUCAAGCACAUCCAAGCCUCACUGUCGAGUCUAGCAGGGCACAGGCAUUACCAGUAUUCUGAAAUCUAAGAAGAAGCAAAAAGGGAAUAUAGGUUUUUAAAAAUACGCCUUCUCUGCUCGCUCUGACCCUCUUUCCGCCUCUUCCUUCCCUCUGGUCCAGCUACUCCGUAUCCUACCGCAAUCUCUCUGGUGAAGGCACUGGGAGGAAGCAGGCAUUUCUAUAUUUAUUUGGAAAUCUACAGGCUACAGAAGGCCCUUUAUUUUGACAGCUAGCUAGGCAUUUGUUACAUUGAUAAUAUAUGGCUGCUAUUUUUCUGCCAGUACCCUUUUCUGUGGUCAGAGUGACAUCCUUGCAUCACCCAGAGUAGAGUGACCAGAAGUCAGUCGACCGGUAAAUCACAUUUGCAGCACCGCCAUGAAAUAUCUCUUCAGUGUGUGAAUGUCUGUAACGAUGCAUAUGGAAUCCAGGUGCCGCCAAGGUUGAG